ensembl:lncRNA
GAAGAAGAGGCACAUCCUGGAACAAGGUUACACUGUUGAUAGUUACGCAAGAGGGAAAAUUAUGCAUGUUUUGUUUACUUUCUCUAUCGAAUACAGAUUGCCCCGUCUACAAUUUGAUCGAUUAUUAACGUUUAAAAAUACCUAAAGUUGUAGUACAAAAGUAGUUUGAAAUAUUUUGGCAAAGUUUAUAGGCAACUUUUGAAAUGUUUUGUAGUGACGUUGUGUUUUGGAAAGCUGUUUUUUUCCAGAUCAAACCUGCUUUAUAAAUGGACAUGUUGGGUAUACAUGGACGGAAUUAAUCGAAAAAAAAAGGACCAAUUGUGAUGUUUAUGGGACAUAUUGGAGUGCCAACAAAGAAGCUCGUCAAAGCAGUAGCUGUAAACGUGCGUGGCCUAGGAACGGACGGACAAUCUCUUCAGAACGACAGGGUACUACAACGUAUCCAUUCUACCACACGACGAC